rnacentral:rRNA from 1 species
UACAGAGGGUGCAAGCGUUGUUCGGAAUUACUGGGCGUAAAGCGCGUGUAGGCGGUCCUUCAAGUCGGACGUGAAAUCCCUGGGCUUAACCCAGGAACUGCGUUCGAAACUGCUGGACUAGAGUAUCGGAGGGGAUGGUGGAAUUCCUGGUGUAGAGGUGAAAUUCGUAGAUAUCAGGAGGAACACCUGUGGCGAAGGCGACCAUCUGGAAGAUUACUGACGCUGAGGAACGAAAGCGUGGGGAGCAAACAGG